rnacentral:rRNA from 1 species
GACGAACGCUGGCGGCGUGCCUAAUACAUGCAAGUUGAGCGCUGAAGGUUGGUACUUGUACCAACUGGAUGAGCAGCGAACGGGUGAGUAACGCGUGGGGAAUCUGCCUUUGAGCGGGGGACAACAUUUGGAAACGAAUGCUAAUACCGCAUAAAAACUUUAAACACAAGUUUUAAGUUUGAAAGAUGCAAUUGCAUCACUCAAAGAUGAUCCCGCGUUGUAUUAGCUAGUUGGUGAGGUAAAGGCUCACCAAGGCGAUGAUACAUAGCCGACCUGAGAGGGUGAUCGGCCACAUUGGGACUGAGACACGGCCCAAACUCCUACGGGAGGCAGCAGUAGGGAAUCUUCGGCAAUGGACGAAAGGCUGACCGAGCAACGCCGCGUGAGUGAAGAAGGGUUUCGGAUCGGAAAACUCGGUUGGUAGAGAAGAACGUUGGUGAGAGUGGAAAGCUCAUCAAGUGACGGUAACUACCCAGAAAGGGACGGCUAACUACGUG